UAAAUUUAUUCUUCUUAUGUCAUCAUUGUAGACCUUUUUUAUGUGACAUUUUAGGUAAAAGUAUGGCAAAUAUAGAAGUUUAAAAGCAGCUGUCACACACAUUUUCACAAAGUGCAGUUUGCAGCUUGAUAAAGGAAGUCCUAUGUGGAGAUAUUAAUAAGCUUGAAUGUAGUAUUGGAAGUUUAUAAUGCAUGGCUAGGGAACUGAGGCUAAGGGAGUUAUGUGCUGUGCAUGAUGAGAACUCAAUGCUCAUUAAUGCUGUUAAUGUUUAUAAAUAAAUUAAUUAAACCAAUAGCAUUGUUUUUUAGGUUUCACUGUACAUUUUCAUACCAAUAGAAUUACACAUCAUUCUAAUUAUAGCAAUAAUAAAUUUGUACUAAUCAUACCUACAAAUUUUGUUAUGCUAUGCUUUGUGAUGUAUUAACUUCAUUGUAAGUUAUUAUUUAAAGACAAUUUUACUAAAUAUUUAAAACAAUACUUGAAUUAUUUUCUAUAUACAUUUUCAUUAUGUGCUUUAACUGUAGCUGACCAGUUGAUGGAAGAUACUGCAGAGUUUGGCAGGGAAAUAACCCAAGACAGCAAAGCGGCUCUUUUGGCGCAUUUACCAAGAGGACUAACAUGGCCACAAAUUCAUGAGAUCAUGCAGGAGCCGUACAGUAUAACAGCAGUACAAGUUCUAUAAAAGAUCCACGACCUACUGAAGCCCAGCUAAUUAACAAAAAAGUUUUUAAAAACUGUAAUUUUAUCCCACCUGGGUACUUAUAAUUUACUAAGCUGCCUUCACAAGUUUUAGACUUGCAAUUAUAUUUUAAACUGUCACUUGGAAAGUAAUACAUGUACAUGCAUUCAUGUUCUGAAUUUCUUUGAACAAUAAAAUUAUAUAAAAGUAUUUUAAUGAAAUUGAGCACCUAAAUUGCAUUAAAGUGAAAGUAGCUGAGAAAAAUAGUAUCCUUUAUUGUUCUCAUGGGCAGCUACAUAUAUUGUGACAAACAUGAAGUAGCUAAAAUAACUUAAAUUUUUCAUUUUGUUUCUUGUAUAUCGUUUGUACAGGGUUCGUGAAUUGUUACUGUAUAUUACUUGACUUGCUUGUAUUUUGUUACUUUGAAUACAUGUUGUUAAGGUUGCAUUAUACUUUUUAACUUUUAAAGUAGCGCCUGUUCUGUUAUGUAAGGCCCUGAUUUAUGAUAAUGGACCUAGAGGCUUUGUAAGCAUGUAUUAAACAACACUUGUUUGAUCUGAAUAAUUUGUUAAAUAAAUGUAACACAAUUUGUAAUCUGAUGUUAUAUUUUGAUGAAUUGUGAACAAAAUAAUACAUCGAAGAAACUAA